UACGGGGGGGGUAAGCGUUGUUCGGAAUUACUGGGCGUAAAGGGCUCGGUAGGCGGCCAACUAAGUCGGACGGUGAAAUCCCUCAGCUUAACUGGGGAACUGCGUCCGAUACUGGAUGGCUUGGAUUUGGGAGAGGGAUGCGGAAUUCCAGGUGUAGCGGUGAAAUGGCGUAGAUAUCUGGAGGAACACCGGUGGCGGAAGGCGGCAUCCUGGACCAAUAUUGACGCUGAGGAGCGAAAGCCAGGGGAGCAAAACGGG
rnacentral:rRNA from 1 species